rnacentral:tRNA from 1 species
GCUGGCGUAGCUCAGCGGUAGAGCAGCCGCCUUGUAAGCGGUAGAUGUCAGUUCAAUUCUGACCGCCAGCU